rnacentral:rRNA from 1 species
UGGGGAAUAUUGCACAAUGGGCGCAAGCCUGAUGCAGCAACGCCGCGUGAACGAUGAAGGUCUUCGGAUCGUAAAGUUCUGUUGCAGGGGAAGAUAAUGACGGUACCCUGUGAGGAAGCCCCGGCUAACUACGUGCCAGCAGCCGCGGUAAUACGUAGGGGGCUAGCGUUAUCCGGAUUUACUGGGCGUAAAGGGUGCGUAGGUGGUCUUUCAAGUCGGUGGUGAAAGGCUACGGCUCAACCGUAGUUAGCCUCCGAAACUGGAAGACUUGAGUGCAGGAGAGGAAAGUGGAAUUCCCAGUGUAGCGGUGAAAUGCGUAGAUAUUGGGAGGAACACCAGUAGCGAAGGCGGCUUUCUGGACUGCAACUGACACUGAGGCACGAAAGCGUGGGUAGCAAACAGG